rnacentral:rRNA from 1 species
UACGAAGGGGGCUAGCGUUGCUCGGAAUCACUGGGCGUAAAGCGCACGUAGGCGGAUCGUUAAGUCAGGGGUGAAAUCCUGGAGCUCAACUCCAGAACUGCCUUUGAUACUGGCGAUCUUGAGUUCGGGAGAGGUGAGUGGAACUGCGAGUGUAGAGGUGAAAUUCGUAGAUAUUCGCAAGAACACCAGUGGCGAAGGCGGCUCACUGGCCCGAUACUGACGCUGAGGUGCGAAAGCCAGGGUAGCGAACCGG